GAUCCUGGCUCAGAAUCAACGCUGGCGGCGUGCCUAACACAUGCAAGUCGCACGAGAAAGCGGGCUUCGGCCUGCAAGUAAAGUGGCGCACGGGUGAGUAACACGUGAAUGAUCUACCUCCGAGUGGGGAAUAACCUAGAGAAAUCUGGGCUAAUACCGCAUAACACUUACGAGUCAAAGCAGCAAUGCGCUUGGAGAGGAGUUCGCGGCAGAUUAGUUAGUUGGCAGGGUAAUGGCCUACCAAGACGAUGAUCUGUAUCCGGCCUGAGAGGGCGCACGGACACACUGGAACUGAAACACGGUCCAGACUCCUACGGGAGGCAGCAGUGGGGAAUUUUGCGCAAUGGGGGAAACCCUGACACAGCAACGCCGCGUGGAGGAUGAAAUCCCUUGGGAUGUAAACUCCUUUCGAUCGGGACGAUUAUGACGGUACCGGAAGAAGAAGCCCCGGCUAACUUCGUGCCAGCAGCCGCGGUAAUACGAGGGGGGCAAGCGUUGUUCGGAAUUAUUGGGCGUAAAGGGCGCGUAGGCGGUUUGACAAGUCUGAUGUGAAAUCUCUGGGCUCAACCCAGAGUCUGCAUUAGAAACUGUCGGGCUUGAGUAUGGGAGAGGUGAGUGGAAUUUCCGGUGUAGCGGUGAAAUGCGUAGAUAUCGGAAGGAACACCUGUGGCGAAAGCGGCUCACUGGACC
rnacentral:rRNA from 1 species